rnacentral:rRNA from 1 species
UACGGGGGGGGCAAGCGUUGUUCGGAAUUACUGGGCGUAAAGGGCUCGUAGGCGGCCAACUAAGUCAGACGUGAAAUCCCCAGGCUCAACCUGGGAACUGCGUCUGAUACUGGAUGGCUUGAAUCCGGGAGAGGGAUGCGGAAUUCCAGGUGUAGCGGUGAAAUGCGUAGAUAUCGGGAGGAACACCCGUGGCGAAGGCGGCUCUCUGGCCUGUAACUGACGCUGAGGCGCGAAAGCGUGGGGAGCAAACAGG